rnacentral:tRNA from 1 species
GCCCCCAUAACUUAAUGGUAGAGUAGCUGCCUCUUAAGCAGCGAGUCCUGGUUCGACUCCAGGUGGGGGUACUA